rnacentral:rRNA from 1 species
CCUACGGGAGGCAGCAGUGAGGAAUAUUGGUCAAUGGGCGCGAGCCUGAAGCAGCCAAGUAGCGUGAAGGAUGACUGCCCUACGGGUUGUAAACUUCAUUUAUAAAGGAAUAAAGUGAGGCACGUGUGCCUGUUUGUAUGUACUUUAUGAAUAAGGAUCGGCUAACUCCGUGCCAGCAGCCGCGGUAAUACGGAGGAUCCGAGCGUUAUCCGGAUUUAUUGGGUUUAAAGGGAGCGUAGAUGGGUUGUUAAGUCAGUUGUGAAAGUUUGCGGCUCAACCGUAAAAUUGCAAUUGAUACUGGCAGCCUUGAGUGCAGUUGAGGUAGGUGGAAUUCGUGGUGUAGCGGUGAAAUGCUUAGAUAUCACGAAGAACUCCGAUUGCGAAGGCAGCUUACUAGACUGCCACUGACAUUGAUGCUCGAAAGUGUGGGUAUCAAACAGGAUUAGAUACCCUAGUAGUC